UACGUAGGGGGCAAGCGUUGUCCGGAUUUAUUGGGCGUAAAGAGCUUGUAGGCGGUUUGUCGCGUCUGCUGUGAAAUUUCGGGGCUCAACCCCGAACUUGCAGUGGGUACGGGCAGACUAGAGUGUGGUAGGGGAGACUGGAAUUCCUGGUGUAGCGGUGAAAUGCGCAGAUAUCAGGAGGAACACCGAUGGCGAAGGCAGGUCUCUGGGCCAUAACUGACGCUGGAGAAAGCGAAAAGCCAUGGGGAGCGAACAGG
rnacentral:rRNA from 1 species